rnacentral:rRNA from 1 species
AGUACGGUCGCAAGAUUAAAACUCAAAUGAAUUGACGGGGGCCCGCACAAGCGGUGGAGCAUGUGGUUUAAUUCGAUGCAACGCGAAGAACCUUACCUACUCUUGACAUCCACAGAACUUUCCAGAGACGGUCUGGUGCCUUCGGGAACUGUGAGACAGGUGCUGCAUGGCUGUCGUCAGCUCGUGUUGUGAAAUGUUGGGUUAAGUCCCGCAACGAGCGCAACCCUUAUCCUUGUUUGCCAGCGAGUAAUGUCGGGAACUCCAGGGAGACUGCCGGUGAUAAACCGGAGGAAGGUGGGGACGACGUCAAGUCAUCAUGGCCCUUACGAGUAGGGCUACACACGUGCUACAAUGGCGCAUACAGAGGGCGGCCAACUUGCGAAAGUGAGCGAAUCCCAAAAAGUGCGUCGUAGUCCGGAUUGGAGUCUGCAACUCGACUCCAUGAAGUCGGAAUCGCUAGUAAUCGUAGAUCAGAAUGCUACGGUGAAUACGUUCCCGGGCCUUGUACACACCGCCCGUCACACCAUGGGAGUGGGCUGCAAAAGAAGUGGGUAGUUUAACCUUCGGGGGGACGCUC